rnacentral:rRNA from 1 species
AUUGAACGCUGGCGGCAGGCCUAACACAUGCAAGUCGAACGGUAACAGAAAGCAGCUUGCUGCUUUGCUGACGAGUGGCGGACGGGUGAGUAAUGUCUGGGAAACUGCCUGAUGGAGGGGGAUAACUACUGGAAACGGUAGCUAAUACCGCAUAACGUCGCAAGACCAAAGAGGGGGACCUUCGGGCCUCUUGCCAUCGGAUGUGCCCAGAUGGGAUUAGCUUGUUGGUGGGGUAACGGCUCACCAAGGCGACGAUCCCUAGCUGGUCUGAGAGGAUGACCAGCCACACCGGAACUGAGACACGGUCCAGACUCCUACGGGAGGCAGCAGUGGGGAAUAUUGCACAAUGGGCGCAAGCCUGAUGCAGCCAUGCCGCGUGUAUGAAGAAGGCCUUCGGGUUGUAAAGUACUUUCAGCGGGGAGGAAGGGAGUAAAGUUAAUACCUUUGCUCAUUGACGUUACCCGCAGAAGAAGCACCGGCUAACUCCGUG